rnacentral:lncRNA from 1 species
GUGUGGUGUUGUGGGGGUGGUGGUGGUGGCUGUGAAGAAGAAGAAGAAGCCUAGCAGCUUCUACUUAUAGUCAACACCCCAAUAGUAGCAUACACUAUUCACUUCAGGCAGUUCGAAAUCUGAUAUCUUUCGCCGGAGCUCUCUGAAAAUCCGUUUCAGUUCAAAUUUGACAGUUAUUUUCGGUUUUGCUUAACUUGACGAGAAAAUUUUAAUCUUUCAGUUUCGACCCCAUUUGGUCACCGAAAGCUGUACCGAACUGUAAUCUUUAUCAGAUAACUGUCGGAUUUUAUUUUCCACCUUCUGGGUGUCAGAAUGAUAUGAAACUUUAAAUCUAGCCUCAUAAAAAUAAUUCUGACUUAUCCUCCAGUUUUCAGAAUUUUCUGACACUGUGCAUUUUCUAUUAAAAUAACAGCCUCGAUUCACACAGAAAAUUCAAAAUCUUCUGUUCUCGCUCCGAUUUCCGCACGAGCCGUUCCCGACUUAUAUUUUACUUCUAUAAGUCCAAUAAAAAUAGUAUCUCACACUAUUUUUAUUUAUACCCUUAUUUUAAAAUCCGGUAUG